rnacentral:rRNA from 1 species
GACGAACGCUGGCGGCGUGCUUAACACAUGCAAGUCGAACGCUGAAGCACCAGCUUGCUGGUGUGGAUGAGUGGCGAACGGGUGAGUAAUACGUGAGUAACCUGCCCUUGACUCUGGGAUAAGCCCGGGAAACUGGGUCUAAUACUGGAUGCUACAUGUCACCGCAUGGUGGUGUGUGGAAAGGGUUUACUGGUCUUGGAUGGGCUCACGGCCUAUCAGCUUGUUGGUGAGGUAAUGGCUCACCAAGGCGACGACGGGUAGCCGGCUUGAGAGGGUGACCGGCCACCCUGGCACUUAGACACGGCCCAUAUUCCUACGGGGGGCAGCAGGGGGGAAUAUUGCCCAAUGGGCGUGAGCCUGUCUCAGCGAGGCGGCGAGCGGGAUGCCGCCUUUCGGGUUGUAACCCUCUUUCAGCAGGGAAGAAGCCACAAGUGCCGUUCCCGGCAGAAGAAGCGCCGGCUACCUACUUG